AGUUUGCGAAGUGUCUUACAUAUAUUAUCUCAUUUGAACCUCAACAACCUCGGGAGAUAGGUUUUAUCACACUUUUUGUAGGUGAGAAGGGGGGCUGAGGAAGGUGAAACGAUUUGCCAACAGUCGGUCACACAGCUUCAUUCUCCGAGGCCAGAUUCAAACUUAAGUUUUCACUCCAAAUUCAGCCCUACCAACCACACCUCCAAGCUGCCUUUGAAGGAUACUGCUUAUCCGCAAAUAGUGAAAGGCCUGUCCAGUAAAAGGGAAGGGGAUUUAUUUUGCUUGGCCCCAGAGGGCAGAAUCCAGCGGUGCACGGAGGCUGCAGGGGCAGAUAAGGAGACUAGACUCCUAAAGCGCAAUGAGCUGGCCCCUGAAACGCAGAGCGCGCUCCGCCACCGGAGCUCCGCAGGGGGACUAUGGCCGUUUGUUGGUUUUGUGGCGGGGAUUCUCACGUCCGCUCCAGUUGGGAUUAGAUUCUUUCCAAGUGGGAGAUUCUAGGACUUCACGGCCUUCAAGAUGGUUCCUUGGGAUCAAGUUACAAGAAUGAUGGGGCAGGGCAAGCCCGGAUCGCUCUUUUGGCAGUUCAUCUACUGCCCGUAGAGGAGGAGAGCAGCUGCAGUUGAGUCCAGGCCCCGCCCGGGCAGAACCAGAACCAGCUGGCAUUCACCAGCCCGCUCUUGCCAAAGGAGGGCACCUGACAUGCAGGCCUUAAGCCCGGCUUCAGUGCGCUGUACUUGCUGACAUAACUACGGAGGGGAGGAAAGGGGCCAUCCAACCACAGAGUUCUGCGGGGUUCGGAACUGGAAAGGGCCUUUUUAAAAAGCCCAGCCUCGUUUAGAGAUGAGCGAACCGGCUGGGGCCGAGAUGGGUCCGCGGCGGAGUUCUAACAUCUCCCCCACCCCUUCACGGCACGUUCCAAACAUCCACAACAGCUGGGAACUAAUUCUUGCUCGGGAGGGGAGGAGUCGGGGAGGGAGGGAAAAAGUGGCGCGGCCCGGCCCGGAAAGUCAAACGACCUAAGUUUGAAUCGACUUUAUUGGCUACCUGUCUGACUUUGGGCUACCUCAGUUUCCCUAUCUGUCCCAUGAGGCGGGACUGGCCCCGCUCUGACCGACAGCUCAGGUACUUUACAGCGCUCCCGUCCCGGCCGGUAAGAGACGCGACUGAACAUAGGAGCCUUGGAAAGUAGCUCUGGCGUGGCGCCAUGGCCCCGCCCUUUAUGCAAAUGAAACAGUCACCGAGAGGGCGUGGCCAGGCUCCUAAUGUCCGCGGCACCACCUAGCUGCUCCCCCACACACACACCCCACCCCCAGGUCCUUUGCCUUCUUCCAGUUGGCUGAGCGUAGAGCAAGCGGAGGCGUGGCUUCCCCUGGUCUUCCGUGGCCCAUGAGUCUAUAUAUAGGGGGGCGGGUCGCUGCCUCCCGCCUUCCCCGGAGGAGCUGGACCGCUGGGGAGCUCGCUGCUGGCCUUGUCCGAGCCGCUCCGGAGCUGUCCGGGGGCGGAGGACGAUGAACGGGACGCGCAAGUGGUGUACAGCGGUGAACUUGCACCCCGAGGGGGAGAGCGCGCCAGUUCCAAAGUCCUACAAGAUGGUGUCCGGCAGAUCAGUCAGUCAUUCCCUGUCAUCAGAGCUGGUAGAAUCUAAUGAUGGGCAUGAGGAAAUCAUCAAGGUUUACUUGAAGGGGAAAACUGGUGACAAAGUCAUCCAUGAGAAGAAUAUUGAUCAGCUGAAAAGUGAAGUUCAAUACAUACAAGAGGCUAGGAGUUGUUUGCAGAAGCUUCGGGAAGAUAUAAGCAACAAACUUGAGAGAGACUCAAGGGACUUUCCUCAGCAACAGGAGAUGCAGGUGCUGUUGGACGAGCCAAAUGGCUUCAGGCAGUCUUUCACUUCACUGUACAAGAGCCCCUCAGAUAUACUGGUGCGCGGUCAUCACAGCGAAGACCCCGAGAGCUUGAAGGAAACCGUCAGAGAGCUGCUGGCUAAGCUGCAGGAGGCCGAGAGGCAGCACCAGUCAGACAGGACCCAUUUCGAGACCACACUUAGCCGGUACCAGAGAGAAGCCGAGGUGAGCAGUUCUGCCCUUCAGAGAGCGGAGAGCAAGUUGGAGCAGAGAGAUGCGGAGGUUCUCGAGCUUCAGAGGUGCAUGUCGGGGAUGGAGAAGGAACAAGAGAGCUUGCAGGAGAAGGUCAGGGAAGGGAACACGGCCCUGGAGGAGCUUCGGACCCGCAAUGCUGACUGCCUUGCAGAACAGGAAAAGGCUACUCAGCUGGAGAAAGAAGUGGCUGGUCUUCGGGAGAAGAUCCAUCACCUGGAUGACAUGCUCAAGAGUCAACAGCGGAAAGUCCGGCAGAUGAUAGAGCAGCUUCAGAAUUCUAAAACGGUGAUUCAGUCCAAGGACACAACCAUCCAGGAGCUCAAAGAGAAGGUUGCCUAUUUGGAGGCUGAGAAUUUAGAAAUGCAUGACCGAAUGGAACACCUGAUAGAAAAACAGAUCAGUCCUGGAAAUUUCAGUACCCAAACCCGAACCAAGAGUGACGGCCUAGGAAGAUUGAAGAUGAUUUAUGGGAUGAUUGGAGAAGAAGAUCAUGUAUGGAUAUAAAGAACAGCGUCAGCUUCAUAGGAUUGAAAAGGGUCUUGAAGUCUUAACAGUCUUCUGAGAGCGUCAGGAUCUCCAGGCCUCCAAACCCUAAGCCCCUGCCUCUCAUCCGUGUGGUGGAAACCUGAGCCGUAAACUGAAUAGUGCUGCUUGCUACCCUUACUGGCCUAAAGAGAAAACCCGUCCCCUGUUGUGUCGCAGACUUUUACUUCUUGACCGCUCCCUGGCUGCCCCGCAGCCCCCAUUUAUGCCUAAUUCUUGAACUCCUUUCUUCUGUGUGCUGGGCAGACAGAGGAAGGGGAAGGCCUUCCUCUGGAGACCCGGAGCCUGUGAAGGAAGCCACCGGGACAGAAACCCGCUUUGCUGGGCCCCGGACCAGGGUGGAGCCCGUGGUGACGCCCAAAAUACCAUGAUUGUUGCUGAUCUGCGUUAGAGAGGAGAGUUUCCCUCAAAGUGGGUGUUGGACUGCCCUGGAGACCAGGGUUGCACAGGAGUGGGACGGGGUGCCCUGGCUCACCCAGCCCUGACACGGAGCAACAGAUAUUCACUUAGACUGGCUCUCAUCCUCAGGGGACCGAACCUUUUUCCUCCUGUGUUGCUUCUAGCAAAACACCAUUUCCCCCACUUCUCUGCUUCCCAAGAUGGUGGGAUCCCCACCAAACUUGCGGUCAUGUGGCUACAAUGGGGAUGUCUUACCUUAUGGUUAGAUCCCUAUUAUCCUGGGGAAUAGAGUGAAACAGAAAAAUAAUCUAUAUUCAGAAAAUGGAUCUGUAGCAGGAAGGGACAUGAGCUAGGCUCGAGUCCUUGCUGUUUUUGGCUUCUACCACUAUUCCCAGAAACUCUUGAAGUUUUUGUUUGUUUUCUCUUUUUAUUUUUUCCUCCCUUUAAAUUCAGCCCUAGAAACACCCCAGCUUCCUGGUCCCAGAGCUUGGAGGAAAGUUUUUCCACCAGAUUGCAUGAGUCCCAGAGAAGCAGCAGAUGCUCCCUCAGUAUUUAUUUUGCUAAGUUAUUGGUGUCUUUGGUUAUGUCUUGUAGUUGUUUUAAUAUCAAAGUUUUCUGGAACUUAGAGUUGUGGCUUUUAUUUUUCUCAUAUCCAUGUGUUUUCCCUCUCUUCUCCCCUUCUCCCAUGCCCAAGUUGUAGACCAGGUAGGGAAUUGUAUAUAUGUUUACAUAUUUAGACUAUAGCGGGGUGGGAGAGCAGGUGGGAAAGGGAGUGUAUAUUGAUUGUACAGAAAGUUCAUGAGUAAGACUCUAGAAAAGGAUUUCCCUUGAAUCUCCCUUUCCCUGCUUUCCUUCCCUCCUCCACCAUUCAGGAGCCUUUUUGGUAUACUGCUUCUGAAUGAUCUCUUCUAGGUCCCUGACUUGUAGCCUCAGGUGAUAGAGAUAAAGCAAAAGAGAGUUAAUAGAAUCUUGUAGAAGAAUAUUAACAAAAAGCAAAGCUCUUAAGUCCCUUACCUCUGCCUAACUCAAAAGUAGAAAACUUAAGUCUACCUGUAGCUGUGUAGAGGUACUAGACCCAGAACUUGCUCCACCCCUGUAGGCAAGUCAUUCCAUGCUUCAGGUAACUCAUCUAUAGAGUGAGGAGUCUAAACUAGCCCAUUUCCAAAGUCCCUCCUAGCUCUAAAAUGUUUCCGGUCUAUACUCUUUAUAUGGUGAAUUGAAUAAAUUAUAUUAACGUGUCUCUUGA